rnacentral:sRNA from 1 species
AGCCAUGUUUAUCUAAUCCUAACUCCAAAGGGUAUAUGUGCCAUCUUUUUGCUACUUUUCCUCUAUAUGCUGUAUUUUGGUCUGGCUUUCAGUGGGCAGAAUAGUCUUGGCCUAAUGUUAUCUACUAUCCAGUAUGUAGUAAAACAAAAAACGUUAGCUGGGCU